GAGAAAAAUGCCAAGAAAAGCUUCUAACUUUAUUCCUGAGCGGUUAAAUUCCGUUCUCUUCUCU
rnacentral:tRNA from 1 species